CUUGGUACUUGGAAGUGUGGUGUAAGGUUCAGGACCACCCUCUUUAUCUGGUAUAAAUAAGAGAGCACGAAGCUUCUGUCUUAUCCACAAACUUGCAUCCUUCACAAGACGUCUUUUAAAGAGGACAUUUCUUGCUACCUGCUUCAUCAGUUCCUUGUUAAUUCCAAGACAUCUUUUGUUUUUAUUUAGGCUAAAAAAGAAAAGCAUGUCAUACCUGGCACCUGUUGUUGAAGUUGGAGGUCAGGGAGGAUAUAUUUUUUAUUUUAAUGGCACUGAAGAUGGAAGCUUAGUGAAAAUGAUUCAGUUUUGGGAAGGUGAAUACAGUAUAAAUGCCGUGAAGGUGUGGCUUACUGAUGACCGGUCCGCUCAGUAUGGUGAUCCUGCUGGGAAUCUGAAAGAGUUUAAAUUUGAAGAUGGAGAGCAUUUCACCUCCCUUUCACUUUGGCCAAAUAAAGAUGGUAAACGUCUGGGUGCAAUCAAAUUCAAGACAAGUCACUCUCGAGAGUUCUAUGCAAAAUUGACAAAAGGUGGUCUAAAACCAGAAGUUCCAGUUGAUGUUGCUUCUGGGAUCUGCAUGGGGAUCAAAGGACGUUCAGGUUUGGAUAUUGAUCGCUUAGGCUUCUUGUUCAUCAACACUGUCAAGUCUGCCCAGCUUACCGAUGUUGUGUAUCCCACCAUUCAUGAUGUGAUACCCAAAGUGGCUGUUGGAGAAAUCAAAUCCAUGUCCUACCAGAACAACACUUCUGUAACUCAAGAAUACAAAAUUGAGAUCUCCAAAAAAAUCAUCCAAAAAUCCUCCUGGUCUGUUAAGGGCAAAAUGGAAAUCACAUACAGCCUGAAAGUAAAUGCAGGAAUUCCAUUUCUUGUGGAGGGGAAAUCAAGAUUUGGAUUAACUCUUGGAGUUGAAGGUACAUAUGCUUCAGAGACCAGUACAGAGAAAAUGGAGCUCUUCUCAUUUCCUGUUAAAGUUCCUGCAGGUAAAACCGUGGAUGUGGACAUCACACUUGGCCAAGCUACAGUUGACCUCCCAUUCACUGGCAUCAUGAAGAUUACCUGCCAUAAUGGUGGUGUGCUGGAGUAUAAAACCAGUGGAACCUACAAGGGUGUCGUUUACUCUGAUGGAAAAGUGGUUGUGAAUGAAUCAAACAAAAUGCUUGAUGCAGUCUAAUAAGCUUUGAAUCCAAUUCUAUAAUUUUUUUAACUACAAAAUGUUUACUCAUAUUAGAUAAUGUUUAAUAAUCAAUGUUACAGAUGUAUGGGACAUAUUUAGUGCAUUAUGUAUCACUGUACUCGGUAUCUCAUGUCAGUACACAUGUCAGUAUUAGUGACACAUGUUACUGGUAGCUACUUAACCUUCUCCAAGUUCUCUGUAGCUGUUUAAUAUACAGUACAGGACACCUGGACACCUUACAGUGACAGUUUAUAAUAGAGCAUAAAAAUCUACAAUUCUUCUUCUCUAUUGCAUUCCAAAGAAGCUCCAUAGGCUUUAUAUCAGGGUCAGAAGAUACACCGAUCCGCCUGUGAACAAGACCCCAAGAUACUUAAACUCUUCCACUUUAGGCAGAAGCUCUCCACCAACCUAUAUGUAUACAUAUUGACAUGGUUUGAAUAGACAUAAGUCAGUUCAUGUGUGUUUUAUUGAACAGUUAGAAUGUGCCAAGUUUCUGUGUUAUGGCUGUGCUACUGUGCCAAGUAGAACAAGUUAAUACAGAGUAAUUAAAUAUUCAUAUAUCAGUAAUAUCACUUUUCAUAUUUUCAUCCCAUAAAGAGGUGUGUCCAAGGUCAAAGACAACCCACUUUAAAUAGUAUAAAUGUGAAUGUGUCCAGUUUCUGUCUUAUCCAUAAACUUGCUUCCUUAGCAAGACGUCAUUUAAAGAAGGCACUUUUUCACUACAUGCUUUUGACUACUUCCCUAGAUUGGGUGAAAAAUCAACCAAAAGAAUCACCCAUUCAGAGUCGGGGCUCUGGACAGGACACUCAAGAUCUUCCACUCCAACCUCCAACACAUCAUGGAGAUCUUCAUGGAACUGGCUUUGUACACAGUGUAAUGGCGGCACAUGCAGCGCCGCAAAUGCAUGGAGAAAAAAACGCUCUUUGCCCACUGCAUCGGCAGCCAAGAAGCAGGAGAGUGUAAAAGGCGGAUGUUCAGCACAUUUGUCAGCGGCACUAAGUGCGAGCUCCCGAACUUCAGCACCGUGGCCAGCGCCGCGGUCGAGUGAGAGCGAUGCGGAGCGGCCGAAACUCCCGCCGAAAAUCACGGGCCAAUCAGGAGCGCCGCUGGAGCAUUCACCCUCCAAGAGGAAAGCACAGCAGGAAGCGAGGCUCAACGGCUGGAGAGGUGAAAGGGGGCGUGUCUAUCGGAACUAAUGGUUCUUGUUUUUCUGAUAUUCUUUUAUGGACACAUCCAGCUGAUCUGGCACUUCAAAUUGCUGGCUGAGACUUUGUUACGUUCCUGGAGAGGACCGCUUCACCUCUACCCUGCCGUCCCCCUGAAGCCCCUUAAUUAAUUAAAGGGGGGGAGGGACUAUUUACUUUUUCGCCUUUUUCUGGUUUUUGCAAUACAUUAAACUGAGGAGAAAAUAAAUACCACCCCCUUGUUUCUACAUCCAAUUAAGACCAGAUGCUUUUUGUUAGAACAUUCCAAGAGCCCUUAUCUAAAUUCUGUAGAGCUUUCAUGGGUUGCAAUGGAGAAGAAAUCAUAACCGUUACAGAAACUAUGAUUCCCUUCCAAUGUCUUAUCAAAGGUUUCUGUGAGACAAAGAAAUGUCACUUCAUUGUGGUUUCUUAGAUGUUCUGACAUUUUAAGGUAAUUAACCUGUGCUGUAUAUUCAUGAUUACAUUAUGUAGGUUAUUAACUGUGUAUGUAGAUUAGAGUAUUAUAGCUUUAUAAUUACUGUAUGUGUUAAUGCUUUAUUUCAAGGUUUCUUUAACUCAUAUUAUGAAAGCUCGAUUCUGAACAUUUUCUGUUGUGUGAAAUCCUCAUUGGGUGUGAACACAUUAACCGAACAAUGUUAACAUGACCGACUUUUUGCAUGUAAGUGAAAUCCGCUUGUGUUUUAUUAUAGCAAUGGGGUUAAACAUGGUUUAUUUAUUUUUUUUGUAAAUUGUUUUCUAUAUUUCUACACUUUCUCCACUUUAAUUUUUAUCUAUUCCUUUAGACUUUGUCCACUUUGGCCAAAACAUAACAUAACUACAUAACACACUGUUCCAUAAUGUCAAUAUCAGUGACACAUGUUACUGGUAGCUACUUAACCUUAUCCAAGUUCUCUGUAGCUGUUUAAUAUACAGUACAGGACACCUGGACACCUUACAGUGAAAGUUUAUAAUAGAGCAUAAAAAUCUACAUUGUCUUCUCUAUUGCAUUCCAUCAAAGCUCUAUAGGCUUUAGAUCAGGGUUUUGGGAAUGUUCUAUCAAAAACAUCUGGUCUGCACUGUGAUCAUUCUUCUGCUUUAAAAAAAACUACAUUUCAUCAAUAAAACACAACCUGACCAACACCAAUGUAGUAACUAAAAGAUCCAGCCAUGUUCAUCACUCAAACAUCACUCCUGAAAUGCCAAAACUUUGUUUGUGUAUUAUAAAACAUCAAAAGUC